UACAGAGGGGGCAAGCGUUGUUCGGAAUUACUGGGCGUAAAGGGCGCGUAGGCGGCCUGCUAAGUCGAACGUGAAAUCCCCGGGCUCAACCCGGGAACUGCGUCCGAUACUGGCAGGCUUGAAUCCGGGAGAGGGAUGUGGAAUUCCAGGUGUAGCGGUGAAAUGCGUAGAUAUCGGGAGGAACACCUAUGGCGAAGGCAGCUUGCUGGGACGGUACUGACGCUGAGACGCGAAAGCGUGGGGAGCAAACAGG
rnacentral:rRNA from 1 species